GAUGAACGCUAGCUACAGGCUUAACACAUGCAAGUCGCGGGGCAGCAUGGGGGUUGCUUGCCAUCCCCGAUGGCGACCGGCGCACGGGUGAGUAACGCGUAUUCAACCCGCCCUUCACCACGGGAUAACCCGGCGAAAGUCGGACUAAUACCGUAUGUUGUCCAUUGACGGCAUCCGAUUUGGACGAAAGGCUUGGCGGUGAGGGAUGGGGAUGCGUCCGAUUAGCCAGACGGCGGGGUAACGGCCCACCGUGGCUACGAUCGGUAGGGGUUCUGAGAGGAAGGUCCCCCACACUGGAACUGAGACACGGUCCAGACUCCUACGGGAGGCAGCAGUGAGGAAUAUUGGUCAAUGGGCGUAAGCCUGAACCAGCCAAGUAGCGUGCAGGAUGACGGCCCUAUGGGUUGUAAACUGCUUUUAUGCGGGGAUAAAGUGGCCCACGUGUGGGCUUUUGCAGGUACCGCAUGAAUAAGGACCGGCUAAUUCCGUG
rnacentral:rRNA from 1 species